AAAGAUAAACAGUGGUAACAGGUUUUCACUCUGAAAACCCUCCUUCAAUCGAAACAAGAGAUCGAAAGAUCGCAACCCUUCUCCCAUUAAACUAGUUUGCCACAUUGCUCCGUCUCUUCAAUAUUGAGUCUUCAAGUAUCUUGAAGGCUCGAAUCAAAUCGAGGACGGAGAUCUGGGCAAGGUUCAAAACCCUUUUCAUCAUUCUUGAUUCAUGCGACAGGAGGCUUUCUAUUGUCAAUUCAUCUGCUGAUUCACAGGAUUGCACUUACGGCCAACCAGUCAUUUCUUUGAAAAUAUGCAUGAGGAAGUGAAUAGAUGAUUUAGUGGCUUCAUCUGGGAAUGCAACAACCAACAUACUCAUAAUACUAAUUCAGGUGAAAAUGUUGAUACCAAGCUCUCUUCCUAAUUCAACUGAAGCAGCUUUUUCUUUUGUAUCUGACCAUAUGAAACCAGACUUAUUAUGUGAUUGGCUGCCCGAUGCUGAAACUUGGCAGAAGUGUCCACAAUGUGAUGGACAUCAUCGGGAUGCAUGCAGAAAAUCUGUUUCAACAAAGGAGAA